UUCCUAUUGCAAGUAAAAAACUCUCAUUUUCCUUAAAAAAUGAGUUUUUUACUUGCAAGAGGAA
rnacentral:miRNA from 1 species